UUCCUACGGGAGGCAGCAGUGAGGAAUAUUGGUCAAUGGGCGAGAGCCUGAACCAGCCAAGUCGCGUGAAGGAUGACGGCCCUAUGGGUUGUAAACUUCUUUUGUCAGGGAGCAAUUGGGUCCACGUGUGGGCUUAGCGAGAGUACCUGAAGAAAAAGCAUCGGCUAACUCCGUGCCAGCAGCCGCGGUAAUACGGAGGAUGCGAGCGUUAUCCGGAUUUAUUGGGUUUAAAGGGUGCGUAGGCGGGCUGUUAAGUCAGCGGUCAAAUUGCGGGGCUCAACCCCGUACUGCCGUUGAAACUGCAU
rnacentral:rRNA from 1 species